ACUGAACGCUGGCGGCAGGCCUAACACAUGCAAGUCGAACGGUAACAGGAAACAGCUUGCUGUUUCGCUGACGAGUGGCGGACGGGUGAGUAAUGUCUGGGAAACUGCCUGAUGGAGGGGGAUAACUACUGGAAACGGUAGCUAAUACCGCAUAACGUCGCAAGACCAAAGAGGGGGACCUUCGGGCCUCUUGCCAUCGGAUGUGCCCAGAUGGGAUUAGCUAGUAGGUGGGGUAACGGCUCACCUAGGCGACGAUCCCUAGCUGGUCUGAGAGGAUGACCAGCCACACUGGAACUGAGACACGGUCCAGACUCCUACGGGAGGCAGCAGUGGGGAAUAUUGCACAAUGGGCGCAAGCCUGAUGCAGCCAUGCCGCGUGUAUGAAGAAGGCCUUCGGGUUGUAAAGUACUUUCAGCGGGGAGGAAGGGAGUAAAGUUAAUACCUUUACUCAUUGACGUUACCCGCAGAAGAAGCACCGGCUAACUCCGUG
rnacentral:rRNA from 1 species